GAGUAAGAGUUUGAUCCUGGCUCAGAUUGAACGCUGGCGGCAGGCCUAACACAUGCAAGUCGAGCGGUAGAGAGAAGCUUGCUUCUCUUGAGAGCGGCGGACGGGUGAGUAAUGCCUAGGAAUCUGCCUGGUAGUGGGGGAUAACGUUCGGAAACGGACGCUAAUACCGCAUACGUCCUACGGGAGAAAGCAGGGGACCUUCGGGCCUUGCGCUAUCAGAUGAGCCUAGGUCGGAUUAGCUAGUUGGUGAGGUAAUGGCUCACCAAGGCGACGAUCCGUAACUGGUCUGAGAGGAUGAUCAGUCACACUGGAACUGAGACACGGUCCAGACUCCUACGGGAGGCAGCAGUGGGGAAUAUUGGACAAUGGGCGAAAGCCUGAUCCAGCCAUGCCGCGUGUGUGAAGAAGGUCUUCGGAUUGUAAAGCACUUUAAGUUGGGAGGAAGGGUUGUAGAUUAAUACUCUGCAAUUUGACGUACCGACAGAAUAGCCCAUG
rnacentral:rRNA from 1 species